rnacentral:rRNA from 1 species
CGAGCACGCGCGUGUGGCAUAUCAAUAAGCGGAGGAAAAGAAACUAACAAGGAUUCCCUUAGUAACGGCGAGUGAGGCGGGAAGAGCUCAAAUUUGAAAUCUUCAAGGUUCUACCUUGACGAAUUGUAGUUUAUAGAAGUGUUUUCUGUUAGUAGAGUGGCAAAAGUUCUUUGGAAUAGGACAUCAUAGAGGGUGAGAAUCCCGUAUUUGGUCAUUCCUUCCUAGCGUUGUGAUACACUUUCAACGAGUCGGAUUGUUUGGGAAUGCAGUCCAAAAUGGGUGGUAAAUUUCAUCUAAAGCUAAAUAUUGGCGAGAGACCGAUAGCGAACAAGUACCGUGAGGGAAAGAUGAAAAGAACUUUGAAAAGAGAGUUAAACAGUACGUGAAAUUGUCAAAAGGGAAGCGUUUGACACCAGUGUUGUUUUUCCGAAGAUCAAUUACGAAUGUUUUAUUUUUGAGGAGUUAUGACUUCAUCGGCUUGCUCCUUUCUUUACGAAACUUUCUUAAUGCACUUUUCGGUUAACAAGUCAACAUCAAUUUCUUUUGUUGUAAAAGGGUAUGAGGAAGGUGGCUUUCUUUUCGGAGAAAGUGUUUAUAGCCUUGUGCCUCUGCAAUCGGAGAGAUUGAGGUCUGCAGCGUAGAUCCUUCGGGGUUAGAUACGUUUGUGCUAAGUUAUAGCUUUUCAUAGACAACUGGUUGACUAUGUUUAGUCUUGUAGCUUACUCGCUUACUGCUAUUUUACCUACGCUUAGGAUGUUGAACUCUAUCACACACAG